rnacentral:rRNA from 1 species
GGUUAAGCGACUAAGCGUACACGGUGGAUGCCCUGGCAGUCAGAGGCGAUGAAGGGCGUGCUAAUCUGCGAUAAGCGCCGGUAAGGUGAUAUGAACCGUUAUAACCGGCGAUACCCGAAUGGGGAAACCCAGUGUGAUUCGUCACACUAUCAUUAACUGAAUCCAUAGGUUAAUGAGGCGAACCGGGGGAACUGAAACAUCUAAGUACCCCGAGGAAAAGAAAUCAACCGAGAUUCCCCCAGUAGCGGCGAGCGAACGGGGAGGAGCCCAGAGCCUGAAUCAGCAUGUGUGUUAGUGGAAGCGUCUGGAAAGGCGCGCGAUACAGGGUGACAGCCCCGUACACAAAAGCGCAUGUGCUGUGAGCUCGAUGAGUAGGGCGGGACACGUGGUAUCCUGUCUGAAUAUGGGGGACCAUCCUCCAAGGCUAAAUACUCCUGACUGACCGAUAGUGAACCAGUACCGUGAGGGAAAGGCGAAAAGAACCCCGGCGAGGGGAGUGAAAAAGAACCUGAAACCGUGUACGUACAAGCAGUGGGAGCCCCACCACCAAAGCAUUCUCUGGUGUUGAAGGCCCUGCAAAGCAGCAUCGCGGUGGCGGAGCGUCGUUUGCGACGCCCAACACACAAAACAAGCGGUGAGUGCUUUGGGGUGGGGUGACUGCGUACCUUUUGUAUAAUGGGUCAGCGACUUAUAUUCUGUAGCAAGGUUAACCGAAUAGGGGAGCCGGAGGGAAACCGAGUCUUAAUUGGGCGUUAAGUUGCAGGGUAUAGACCCGAAACCCGGUGAUCUAGCCAUGGGCAGGUUGAAGGUUGGGUAACACUAACUGGAGGACCGAACCGACUAAUGUUGAAAAAUUAGCGGAUGACCUGUGGCUGGGGGUGAAAGGCCAAUCAAACCGGGAGAUAGCUGGUUCUCCCCGAAAGCUAUUUAGGUAGCGCCUCGUGAAUUCAUCUCCGGGGGUAGAGCACUGUUUCGGCUAGGGGGCCAUCCCGGCUUACCAACCCGAUGCAAACUGCGAAUACCGGAGAAUGUUAUCACGGGAGACACACGGCGGGUGCUAACGUCCGUCGUGAAGAGGGAAACAACCCAGACCGCCAGCUAAGGUCCCAAAGUCAUGGUUAAGUGGGAAACGAUGUGGGAAGGCCCAGACAGC